rnacentral:tRNA from 1 species
CGGGGAGUAGCGCAGCUUGGCUAGCGCGUCUGCUUUGGGAGCAGAAGGUCGUGGGUUCGAAUCCCACCUUCCCGACCA